AUCUCCUGACUGGCUGACACCGCACUGACGACCUUGGCUUCAGCAAUCCUCCCAUCCGGUCCACUACAAUUCUGGAGGAUCGGAAGACUUGGCGACAUUGCAGAGCUGUUCAUCACUGGCAAGCGGCUUGGUUAAUUGUGUUCGGUUAACUGGUUUUUAGAGCCGUUCUGUCCCGUGCUCCGUGUGGAUGUUGGGAACAGACGUCACCUCUUAGCAUAUUCUUUAAAAUGUCAUUUGCUCUAUUUACAGCACGUAUGACAUUGCCACCCUCGCCAUCUGCUCUGUAAUAAUAAAUUCAAGGACAUACAGAUCUGAGUAAAGCACUAUUGAAGUUACACAACGACAACAGAAUCACCUGUGUUGAUUAGCUUAUAUUCUGUGCUUGUCUUAACAUGCAUUUUUCAGUUACCAAAGAAUAAAAAUGCUAAGCUGCAACUUA